UACGGAGGAUGCGAGCGUUAUCCGGAUUUAUUGGGUUUAAAGGGUGCGCAGGCGGAAUGUCAAGUCAGCGGUAAAAUUUCGGGGCUCAACCCCGUCGUGCCGUUGAAACUGGCGUUCUUGAGUGAGCGAGAAGUAUGCGGAAUGCGUGGUGUAGCGGUGAAAUGCUUAGAUAUUACUCAGAACACCGAUUGCGCAGGCAGCUUGCUAAUCCGCAUCUGACGCUGAUGCACGAAAGCGUGGGUAGCGAACAGG
rnacentral:rRNA from 1 species